rnacentral:rRNA from 1 species
CCUACGGGAGGCAGCAGUGGGGAAUAUUGGACAAUGGGCGAAAGCCUGAUCCAGCCAUGCCGCGUGUGUGAAGAAGGCCUUCGGGUAGUAAAGCACUUUCAGUGGGGAAGAAAGCCUUGGGGCUAAUACCCUCGAGGAAGGACAUCACCCACAGAAGAAGCACCGGCUAACUCCGUGCCAGCAGCCGCGGUAAUACGGAGGGUGCGAGCGUUAAUCGGAAUUACUGGGCGUAAAGCGCGCGUAGGCGGUCUGAUAAGCCGGUUGUGAAAGCCCCGGGCUCAACCUGGGAACGGCAUCCGGAACUGUCAGGCUAGAGUGCAGGAGAGGAAGGUAGAAUUCCCGGUGUAGCGGUGAAAUGCGUAGAGAUCGGGAGGAAUACCAGUGGCGAAGGCGGCCUUCUGGACUGACACUGACGCUGAGGUGCGAAAGCGUGGGUAGCAAACAGGAUUAGAUACCCUUGUAGUC